AGUGCCCAAACGGAUAUUAACAGAUCAAGGCAGAGAAUUUGUGAACACUAUCAACACUGAAGUCUGCAAAAAGUUAGGAAUUAAGAGGAGUCUUUGUGCCCUAUACCACCCUCAGACAAACGGACUGGUGGAGAGGCUCAAUGGUACCAUACAGAGAUUCCUUGUAAAACUGGUCAAAGCCAAGCACCUGGGACCAAUAUUUGGAUGCAGCUAUGUUUGGGCUGCGCACAAAGAAGCAGCUCACAACAAAGUUCUCACCAUUUUUCCUUAUGUUUGGGAGAGAAGCCAGAUACCCAUCUGAGGUCCCAAAACAUUAUCAGGUUGAUGGCUCCUUUGAAAUUGACUACAGUGAAGAAGGGGUGGCCAUUGAUAUUAAACGUCAUGAAGAAAUUAUUGAGCUGGUAGAGAAAAAUGUUCAAAAAACACAUGAAAGAACAAGAAGGCGACUAACAAGAAGGCAACUCCAAAGCCUUGAGGUGGGAGACGUGGUGUGGAGGAAGAAUGUUCGCAGUGAACAACGGAAAGGGGGGAAACUUGACCCAGAUUAUUUUGGUCAAGUCAAGUCAAGUCACCUUUAUUUAUAUAGCGCUUUUAACAAUACAGAUUGUGUCAAAGCACUUAACAGUAUCAAAUUAGAGGAUAGAGUGUCAGUAAUGUAUAAUGAUAAGAUUAAACACUCAAUUUUCAGUUAAAGGCAUUUCAUUAUUGAAUUCAGAGAUGUCAUUGUCUAGCUCGGUUUAGUUUAAAUAGUAUCUGUGCAAUCAAAUUGCGCGAUAAUCGCUAGAAAUUAAGUGUCCCCAACUGAGCAAGCCAGAGGCUACAGCGGCAAGGAACCAAAACUCCCUCCGAGACAGAAUGGAGAAAAAAACCUUGGGAGAAACCAGGCUCAGUCGGGGGUGACGAUCAGGGCUGUAGACAUCAUCUCUUGGUGCUGAUCCACCAUCUGAUCGGAUACGGACUGAGAAACAGACUAGGAAAGAAACAGACAAAUAUUAGCGUAGAUGCCAUUCUUCUUACGAUGUAACGAGUACAUCGUGUGUUAUGGGGAGUGUUCCCGGUUCCGGUUGAUCUAAUUAAUGCAGCCUAACAAUCCUUUAAUGGAUUUGAAUAAUAGAAGCGUAUUAAUGUGUUAUGUGUAAGCCAGGCUAAAGAGAUGGGUCUUUAAUCUAGAUUUAAACUGACAGAGUGUGUCUGCCUCCCGAACAGUGUUAGGUAGAUUGUUCCAGAGUUUGGGUGCUAAAUAGGAAAAGGAUCUGCCGCCCGCAGUCGAUUUUGAUAUUCUAGGUAUUAUCAAACGGCCAGAGUUUUG